rnacentral:rRNA from 1 species
AUUGAACGCUGGCGGCAGGCCUAACACAUGCAAGUCGAGCGGAUGAGAGGAGCUUGCUCCUCGAUUCAGCGGCGGACGGGUGAGUAAUGCCUAGGAAUCUGCCUAGUAGUGGGGGACAACGUUUCGAAAGGAACGCUAAUACCGCAUACGUCCUACGGGAGAAAGUGGGGGAUCUUCGGACCGCACGCUAUUAGAUGAGCCUAGGUCGGAUUAGCUAGUUGGUAGGGUAAAGGCCUACCAAGGCGACGAUCCGUAACUGGUCUGCGGGGAUGAUCAGUCACACUGGAACUGAGACACGGUCCAGACUCCUACGGGAGGCAGCAGUGGGGAAUAUUGGACAAUGGGCGAAAGCCUGAUCCAGCCAUGCCGCGUGUGUGAAGAAGGCCUUCGGGUCGUAAAGCACUUUAAGUUGGGAGGAAGGGCUCAUAGCGAAUACCUGUGAGUUUUGACGUUACCAACAGAAUAAGCACCGGCUAACUUCGUGCCAGCAGCCGCCGUAAAAC